CUUUGCUGGAGCUAUACGCAGCAGGAGCAGAUGGGGGAGGGACGAAGUGCUCACAGUGAAGCCAGAGGAAAGCCAGAAGAUGGUUACAGAAGGAAAGUAGUUUGCAAGCUGGUCUGCUACUGUUGGCGAGCCACUGGAGGAUACUUGGUGACCAACUUGUUUUGGUCAUCGAUAGAGAUCGUCCAGGAGGGUGCUUGUCUGGGAAUGACCUUCAUGACCUCACCACCGCUCCGCCCCGGAAAUAUCAACCGCCAACCAGAAGCUCUGUACUACGGCCUACAGGAUGUGGUUGACUGGUCCCAGUGAUGGACAGGUGACCAGCCAGCCCCCUAGCUGCCCUCUCCUGCCGUGACUCCCACCCCUCCGC
ensembl:lncRNA